rnacentral:tRNA from 1 species
ACGGGUGUAGCUCAGUUGUAGAGCGCCUACUUGCGUAGGAGGUCGCGGGUUCGAAACCUGUCACCCGAGCCA